AUGUUCUCCCAUCUGACACCUGGCUCCAUUACAGUUUGUUGUGUUCCAUGAUGACCAUGAUGUAGAGACUCUACUACAGCUCCCAGCUCCUGCAUCAGCACUAACACCCAUGAGGUAGGCACUGAAACAGAAAGGGAAGAACUGUGUAACUACAAUGGCCAGUUACUCCUUUCACUCUCCAGGAAGAAAUGUCUGGAUUUUGUCAGUGCAACAGCAAUCCAUAGAGUUUUGUUUGCCUCUGAGCCACACUCAGUUGGGGGCUGUAAUAUCUGGAACCAUUUUUGCUAAAAAUGUGAAGACAGGAGCCAAGCUUUGACAUUUGCAGACUGAACUUAAUUAUCAGGAUGCUUUCAUGGUGGCUCUUGGUGGCAUGCUUGAUGCGCCUCCCCAAACCUCCUCCUCAUAACAGCCACCAGAACUGUGGGUCAUUCCAGAAGCCCUAGGCUGUGAUGUGGAGCCAACACUUGCCCAAGGUGAGUCACAAAAGCUCCUUCCACAGCACGUUUGCCAGCUGGCAACCAGUUGUGCAAGUGCAAUAGGGGACAUGAGCAAACUGGAGAGUCUGCCAUAGUGUGGGGUCACAAGAAUCUCCUCCCCACCUUGUGGAGUGGUACACAGGGGGCUGCAUCUCCAGCCUCAGCUGUAGCAGCCGCACAUAGGGGUUUGCUGCUCAGCCCAAGGUGAUCUGAGCACAGUAACCUGGAGGGCUUGUGCAGGACUGUUUGGCAGUUCAGUACUUCUGCACAGCUUGCUCUGAAGUAGCUAAUAGAGCUGGCUCCUGUUUCGGACAUGCUUUGGACAAGA